GAAACGACUGCUAAGACUGGAUAGGAGACAGGAAGGCAUCUUCUUGUUUUUAAAAGACCUAGCAAUAGGUAUGCUCAGGGAGGAGCUUGCGUCACAUUAGUUAGUUGGUGGGGUAAAGGCCUACCAAGACUAUGAUGUGUAGCCGGGCUGAGAGGUUGAACGGCCACAUUGGGACUGAGACACGGCCCAAACUCCUACGGGAGGCAGCAGUAGGGAAUUUUCGGCAAUGGAGGAAACUCUGACCGAGCAACGCCGCGUGAACGAUGAAGUAUUUCGGUACGUAAAGUUCUUUUAUUAGGGAAGAAUAAAUGAUGGAAAAAUCAUUCUGACGGUACCUAAUGAAUAAGCCCCGGCUAACUAUGUGCCAGCAGCCGCGGUAAUACAUAGGGGGCAAGCGUUAUCCGGAAUUAUUGGGCGUAAAGGGUGCGUAGGCGGUUAAAUAAGUUUAUGGUCUAAGUGCAAUGCUCAACAUUGUGAUGCUAUAAAAACUGUUUAGCUAGAGUAAGAUAGAGGCAAGUGGAAUUCCAUGUGUAGUGGUAAAAUGCGUAAAUAUAUGGAGGAACACCAGUAGCGAAGGCGGCUUGCUGGGUCUUUACUGACGCUGAGGCACGAAAGCGUGGGGAGCAAACAGGAUUAGAUACCCUGGUAGUCCACGCCGUAAACGAUGAGUACUAAACGUUGGGUAAAACCAGUGUUGAAGUUAACACAUUAAGUACUCCGCCUGAGUAGUACGUACGCAAGUAUGAAACUUAAAGGAAUUGACGGGACUCCGCACAAGCGGUGGACCAUGUUGUUUAAUUCGAAGGUACCCGAAAAACCUCACCAGGUCUUGACAUGCUUCUGCAAAGCUGUAGAACCACAGUGGAGGUUAUCAGUUGCACAGGUGGUGCAUGGUUGUCGUCAGCUCGUGUCGUGAGAUGUUGGGUUAAGUCCCGCAACGAGCGCAACCCUUAUUGUUAGUUACCAGCACGUAAUGGUGGGGACUUUAGCAAGACUGCCAGUGAUAAAUUGGAGGAAGGUGGGGACGACGUCAAAUCAUCAUGCCCCUUAUGACCUGGGCUACAAACGUGAUACAAUGGCUGUUACAAAGGGUAGCUGAAGCGCAAGUUUUUGGCGAAUCUCAAAAAAACAGUCUCAGUUCGGAUUGAAGUCUGCAACUCGACUUCAUGAAGUUGGAAUCGCUAGUAAUCGCGAAUCAGCAUGUCGCGGUGAAUACGUUCUCGGGGUUUGUACACACCGCCCGUCA
rnacentral:rRNA from 1 species